CUUAAAUUGAAGAGUUUGAUCAUGGCUCAGAUUGAACGCUGGCGGCAGGCCUAACACAUGCAAGUCGAGCGGUAGCACAAGAGAGCUUGCUCUCUGGGUGACGAGCGGCGGACGGGUGAGUAAUGUCUGGGAAACUGCCUGAUGGAGGGGGAUAACUACUGGAAACGGUAGCUAAUACCGCAUAACCUCGCAAGAGCAAAGAGGGGGACCUUCGGGCCUCUCGCCAUCAGAUGUGCCCAGAUGGGAUUAGCUAGUAGGUGAGGUAAUGGCUCACCUAGGCGACGAUCCCUAGCUGGUCUGAGAGGAUGACCAGCCACACUGGAACUGAGACACGGUCCAGACUCCUACGGGAGGCAGCAGUGGGGAAUAUUGCACAAUGGGCGCAAGCCUGAUGCAGCCAUGCCGCGUGUGUGAAGAAGGCCUUCGGGUUGUAAAGCACUUUCAGCGAGGAGGAAGGCAGUCGUGUUAAUAGCACGGCUGAUUGACGUUACUCGCAGAAGAAGCACCGGCUAACUCCGUGCCAGCAGCCGCGGUAAUACGGAGGGUGCAAGCGUUAAUCGGAAUGACUGGGCGUAAAGCGCACGCAGGCGGUCUGUUAAGUUGGAUGUGAAAUCCC
rnacentral:rRNA from 2 species